GCUUACGGCCAUACCACCCUGAACACGCCCGAUCUCGUCCGAUCUCGGAAGCUAAGCAGGGUCGGGCCUGGUUAGUACUUGGAUGGGAGACCGCCUGGGAAUACCAGGUGCUGUAAGUG
ensembl:rRNA 5S_rRNA 5S ribosomal RNA